UAGGCCACAAAGACCCCAAAGAAUGCCUGGAAUGUCGUGGGGCCAGACGACCUCCUGCAGACAGGAGAGGCUGGCUUUGUGCUCAGCUUGCCAGGACGACUGACCCCAAGUUAGAAAGGUCACUCCCUGACCUGUGACCCUGCCCUCUCGCCCCAUCCAUCCAUGGUGGGCAGCUGGGCUUCCCUCCUCAGGAUCCCCAGUGUCCCUUCCAUGCCAGUGGGACCUGGCCUGAAGUUUAUAGCAGCUCAACUGGUGCAAGCUCGCACAGAUGGCCCCUAAGAGGUGGAAGGCUACCCUGAAGAUGUGUCCGGGCCCCUCUCCUCCCCACUGUGGAGGCUACAAGGGGCUUCCUGGUGCUCAUUGCACAGUCAGCCCCCUGUGAGGUGGCAGAUCCAGUCCCCACCUCACCUGUCCCCCAGGGCUGGGCUGCUCUGUGCACGGGGCCCCUCCCACUCAGCCACACCUGCUGGGGGCCCCACCUGUCCUAGGAAGAGACAUGAAUGCCUGCCCUCUCAGUCCUUGUGGUCGAGCGCUGGAGAUGGACAGUCGGCCCCAAAUCAGGCCAGAGCAGCUGAGGAGAAUGGGACUGUAGACCUAAGACCGCUUCAUAGACCCCAGCUGAGGCCCGUCCCUGAGGGGGCAGCGCAGCCCCCGGGAGAGGCCUGGGAAGCAGAGCUCAGGCCUGGCUCUGCUGCCAACUUCCGUGGCUCCCCUCAGGCUCUUUCUGGACUCGGCUGCCUCCCUCCAGCUCAGAACACCGAGGUUUCCAGACGGAAGCCGCUUCUCCUCUGACUGAUUCUCUUCUUGACCAAACUCUCCUCAGGCGCUUCUAAACUCUCUUCUCACCUAGGCCUGGCUUUUGGGCCUCUGUGUUCAUCUCUGCAUUGUCCAGUUUUAGCAAGAAUCCCACUAAGUCACUUUUGCCAGAAUCCCCCAUCCUUGAUAUCUGAUGCCCCUCGGUAUCUGAUCGGGUUGCUCAUCCCCCACCAGCCCCCAGGUGAUGUGGGAUCACCCCCGCCUGCCUU
rnacentral:lncRNA from 1 species